rnacentral:rRNA from 1 species
GAUGAACGCUGGCGGCGUGCCUAACACAUGCAAGUCGAGCGAUCUUCUUCGGAAGAGAGCGGCGGACGGGUGAGUAACGCGUGGGUAACCUGCCUCAUACACACGGAUAACAUACCGAAAGGUAUGCUAAUACGAGAUAAUAUGCUUUUAUCGCAUGGUAGAAGUAUCAAAGCUCCGGCGGUACAGGAUGGACCCGCGUCUGAUUAGCUAGUUGGUAAGGUAACGGCUUACCAAGGCGACGAUCAGUAGCCGACCUGAGAGGGUGAUCGGCCACAUUGGAACUGAGACACGGUCCAAACUCCUACGGGAGGCAGCAGUGGGGAAUAUUGCACAAUGGGCGAAAGCCUGAUGCAGCAACGCCGCGUGAGCGAUGAAGGCCUUCGGGUCGUAAAGCUCUGUCCUCAAGGAAGGUAAUGACGGUACUUGAGGAGGAAGCCCCGGCUAACUACGUGCCAGCCGCCGCCGUAACAC